GAUGAACGCUGGCGGCGUGCCUAAUACAUGCCAGUCGAGCGAACGGACGAGAAGCUUGCUUCUCUGAUGUUAGCGGCGGACGGGUGAGUAACACGUGGAUAACCUACCUAUAAGACUGGGAUAACUUCGGGAAACCGGAGCUAAUACCGGAUGAUAUUUUGAACCGCAUGGUUCAAAAGUGAAAGACGGUCUUGCUGUCACUUAUAGAUGGAUCCGCGCUGCAUUAGCUAGUUGGUAAGGUAACGGCUUACCAAGGCAACGAUGCAUAGCCGACCUGAGAGGGUGAUCGGCCACACUGGAACUGAGACACGGUCCAGACUCCUACGGGAGGCAGCAGUAGGGAAUCUUCCGCAAUGGGCGAAAGCCUGACGGAGCAACGCCGCGUGAGUGAUGAAGGUCUUCGGAUCGUAAAGCUCUGUUAUUAGGGAAGAACAUAUGUGUAAGUAACUGUGCACGUCUUGACGGUACCUAAUCAGAAAGCCACGGCUAACUACGUG
rnacentral:rRNA from 1 species